rnacentral:rRNA from 1 species
AUACCCGAUAGGUCUCGAUUGCUGGAAUGCAUCGAGAUUUAAAGCUCCGGCGCCUAAGGAUGGGUCUGCGGCCUAUCAGGUAGUAGUGGGUGUAGCGUACCUACUAGCCUACGACGGGUACGGGUUGUGAGAGCAAGAGCCCGGAGAUGGAUUCUGAGACACGAAUCCAGGCCCUACGGGGUGCAGCAGGCGCGAAAACUUUACAAUGCUGGCAACAGCGAUAAGGGAACCUCGAGUGCCGGGUUACAAAUCUGGCUGUCGAGAUGCCUAAAAAGCAUUUCAUAGCAAGGGCCGGGCAAGACCGGUGCCAGCCGCCGCGGUAACACCGGCGGCUCGAGUGGUAACCGUUAUUAUUGGGUCUAAAGGGUCUGCAGCCGGCCGGAUAAGUCUCUUGAGAAAUCUGGCAGCUUAACUGUCAGGCUUUCAGGAGAUACUGUCUGGCUCGAGGCCGGGAGAGGUGAGAGGUACUUCAGGGGUAGGGGUGAAAUCUUGUAAUCCUUGAAGGACCACCAGUGGCGAAGGCGUCUCACCAGAACGGACCUGACGGCAAGGGACGAAAGCUAGGGGCACGAACCGGAUUAGAUACCCGGGUAGUCCUAGCCGUAAACGAUACUCGCUAGGUGUCGGCCACGGUGCGACCGUUGUCGGUGCCGUAGGGAAGCCGUGAAGCGAGCCACCUGGGAAGUACGGCCGCAAGGCUG